rnacentral:rRNA from 1 species
CAGCCGCCGCGGUAAUACAGAGGGUGCGAGCGUUAAUCGGAUUUACUGGGCGUAAAGCGUGCGUAGGCGGCUAAUUGAGUCGGAUGUGAAAUCCCUGAGCUUAACUUAGGAAUUGCAUUCGAUACUGGGAAGCUAGAGUAUGGGAGAGGAUGGUGGAAUUCCCGGUGUAGCGGUGAAAUGCGUAGAGAUCGGGAGGAACAUCAGUGGCGAAGGCGGCCAUCUGGGACAACACUGACGCUGAGGCACGAAAGCGUGGGGAGCAAACAGGAUUAGAUACCCCGGUAGUCCCUGUCUCUUAUAC